AGUUUGAUCAUGGCUCAGAUUGAACGCUGGCGGCAUGCCUUACACAUGCAAGUCGAACGGCAGCACGGGAGCUUGCUCCUGGUGGCGAGUGGCGAACGGGUGAGUAAUACAUCGGAACGUACCCUGGAGUGGGGGAUAACGUAGCGAAAGUUACGCUAAUACCGCAUAUUCUGUGAGCAGGAAAGCAGGGGAUCGCAAGACCUUGCGCUUUGGGAGCGGCCGAUGUCGGAUUAGCUAGUUGGUGGGGUAAAGGCUCACCAAGGCAACGAUCCGUAGCGGGUCUGAGAGGAUGAUCCGCCACACUGGAACUGAGACACGGUCCAGACUCCUACGGGAGGCAGCAGUGGGGAAUUUUGGACAAUGGGCGCAAGCCUGAUCCAGCCAUGCCGCGUGAGUGAAGAAGGCCUUCGGGUUGUAAAGCUCUUUCGGUUGGGAAGAAAUUGCUUGGGUUAAUACCCUGUGUGGAUGACGGUACCGGAAUAAGAAGCACCGGCUAACUACGUG
rnacentral:rRNA from 1 species